rnacentral:piRNA from 1 species
AGGAUUUGGUGUUAGCAAGGUUCUCUC